UAACUUAAGAGUUUGAUUAUGGCUCAGAACGAACGCUGGCGGCAUGCCUCAUACAUGCAAGUCGAACGAGGUCUUCGGACCUAGUGGCGCACGGGUGAGUAACAUGUGGGAAUCUACCUGAAGGUUCGGAAUAACUGCGGGAAACUGUAGCUAAUACCGGAUGUGUCUGCAAAGAGAAAGAUUUAUCGCCUUCAGAUGAGCCCGCACUAGAUUAGCUAGUUGGUGAGGUAAUUGCUCCACCAAGGCUACGAUCUAUAGCUGAUUUGAGAGGAUGAUCAGCCACACUGGGACUGAGACACGGCCCAGACUCCUACGGGAGGCAGCAGUAGGGAAUAUUGGACAAUGGGGGAAACCCUGAUCCAGCAAUGCCGCGUGAGUGAAGAAGGCCUUCGGGUUGUAAAACUCUUUCAUCAAUGAUGAUAAUGACAUUAGUUGAAGAAGAAGCUCCGGCUAACUUCGUGCCAGCAGCCGCGGUAAUACGAAGGGGGCUAGCGUUGUUCGGAAUCACUGGGCGUAAAGCGUAUGUAGGCGGAUCAAAAAGUUAGAUGUGAAAUCCCUGGGCUCAACCCAGGAACUGCAUUUAAAACUAGUGAUCUAGAAUUUGGUAGGGGUUAGUAGAAUUUCCAGUGUAGAGGUGAAAUUCGUAGAUAUUGGAAAGAAUACCAGUGGCGAAGGCGACUAACUGGGCCAUUUUUGACGCUGAGAUACGAAAGCGUGGGUAGCAAACAGGAUUAGAUACCCUGGUAGUCCACGCAGUAAACGAUGAGUGCUAGUCGCUGGGACAAUAGUUUCAGUGUCGAAGCUAACGCAUUAAGCACUCCGCCUGGGAAGUACGGUCGCAAGAUUAAAACUCAAAUAAAUUGACGGGGGCCCGCACAAGCGGUGGAGCAUGUGGUUUAAUUCGAAGCAACGCGAAGAACCUUACCAGACCUUGACAUGGUAUGUUUGAAUUACAGAAUCGUAAUUCUUCAGUUCGGCUGGCAUACACACAGGUGCUGCAUGGCUGUCGUCAGCUCGUGUCGUGAGAUGUUGGGUUAAGUCCCGCAACGAGCGCAACCCUCAUUUUUAGUUGCCAUCAGGUUAAGCUGGGCACUCUAAAAAAACUGCCGGUGAUAAGCUGGAGGAAGGCGGGGAUGACGUCAAGUCCUCAUGGCCCUUACGGUCUGGGCUACACACGUGCUACAAUGGUGGUGACAGUGGGCAGCAAUACUGCAAAGUAAAGCUAAUCCCAAAAAACCAUCUCAGUUCGGAUUGGACUCUGCAACUCGAGUCCAUGAAGUUGGAAUCGCUAGUAAUCGUAGAUCAGCGUGCUACGGUGAAUACGUUCUCGGGCCUUGUACACACCGCCCGUCACGCCAUGGGAGUUGGUUUUACCUUAAGCCGGUGCGCUAACCGCAAGGAAGCAGCCGUCCACGGUAGGGUCAGCGACUGGGGCGAAGUCGUAACAAGGUAACCGUAGGGGAACCUGCGGUUGGAUCACCUCCUUU
rnacentral:rRNA from 1 species